CCUACGGGUGGCAGCAGUGAGGAAUAUUGGUCAAUGGGCGUAAGCCUGAACCAGCCAAGCCGCGUGAGGGACGAAGGUUCUAUGGAUCGUAAACUUCUUUUAUAAGGGAAUAAAGUGCGGCACGUGUCCCGUAUUGUAUGUACCUUAUGAAUAAGCAUCGGCUAACUCCGUGCCAGCAGCCGCGGUAAUACGGAGGAUUCGAGCGUUAUCCGGAUUUAUUGGGUUUAAAGGGUGCGUAGGCGGCCUUUUAAGUCAGCGGUGAAAGUCUGUGGCUCAACCAUAGACGUGCCGUUGAAACUGGGUGGCUUGAGUAGGUGUGAGGCAGGCGGAAUGCGUGGUGUAGCGGUGAAAUGCUUAGAUAUCACGCAGAACCCCGAUUGCGAAGGCAGCCUGCCGGGCGAUAACUGACGCUGAGGCACGAAAGCGUGGGGAUCAAACAGGAUUAGAUACCCCUGUAGUC
rnacentral:rRNA from 1 species